rnacentral:lncRNA from 1 species
CGUCCGCACACGCGCCGCCAGGCGGACGCCCCUCAGCCGGCGGGGCACCGGCACGCCGCCCCGUCACGCAGCGCGGGGCCGGGGAGGGCGCUCUCCGAACGGCGGCCCAGGGCAGAGGCACGCGGGCAGAACCGCAGAGCGGCCCCGGAGCUCCCCGCGACUCCCACCGGGCCGGGCCCGCGCCGCCAAGCUGACAGGGGCCGCCCGCACCCGGCCGAGCCGCCCGCCCCGCGGUGCGGCAACAAAGGGACGGCGGCAAGCGGGCGGCGCCGCGCCGAGACGAUGCUCCUCCGCGUGAGGGAGGCGCGGCGGGCACCGCGCAGCGCGGCACGGCCACGGCCGUACGGCGGGAACGGACCGCGGGGGCGGCCGGCCCGCACCCACCCGCUCUCGCGGACCGCCGGGCAGCGGCCGUCCCACAGCGCAGCCCCGACGAGAAAGCCCGGCCCGGCUGGACUCCUCCGCCGCGCGGCCCCCACCCUCCGUCCCGCCCGCGCUCACCUGGGGCCCGGCGGCCCGUCCGCGCGCCGGCUGCGGGGCGUGAGGAGAAGAUGGCGGCAGGCCUCGCUGCGGGGCGGGCCCGGGGCCGCGCUCGGUCGGCCGGGGUCUCGCUGUCGCUCGGCGCUGCGACCGUCGCCCUCCCUCUCGUCCGCCGCCCGGCCCCCAGGACCCUCCCCGCGCCGGGGCGGGGUGCCCGUUCGCCGCCUGAGUGCAAGCGAGAAAGGACGGCCCGGCUGGGCGUCGCCGCGGGGGCGGGGAGCGGCCGGUGGCGGCGGGGCGGGGCCGCGCUUUGUUAGCGGCGGGGCGAGCACCCUCCCGCCCACGGGCCGCAGCGGGUGGCGGCGGUGCCCGGACGAGCGCCGAGGGAACCGCGGACGGGGCGGGGUCGGGCGGCGGAGCUGCGGCGGCUGCAGCUGCCGGGCCGGCAAGUGCGGGCUCGUCGACGUUCCCCGCCCAGCGCGGCGGCUCCAGGCGCGUCCCUGUGAGCGGCCUGCCCCGAGGCCUGCCCUUGGCUCGCGGCGCCUCUGAGGGCGGCGGGAACCGCCUCGGCUUCUCUGAGGAGGUCGUGUGGCGCGCGCGGCCGAGCGCCCAUCUGAGGGACGGCGCCGAGCGGCGGGAACGGGGCUGCGCGCCGCUGUCACUGCUCGUCUCCACAGCCUGGUGCCAGCUCCGUCCAGGGCCGCAUUGGUGGAAAAAUGUGUAUUUUUCACGAAACAUCAGAUGUAUAAAUGCUGUAUAUGAGAUACAGAGAUGCAUUUUCAUAUGUUUUGACAUUCGGUUAAAUUUAAUGCAUCUUUGUAAUUCUCAGAAGACAGCCGCUAAGAGUGAUGUGAACGCUGAACAUGUUUUCUGUGUUCAGACACUGAAGGGAGAUGACAUUCAGCAAACCGUGUUACAGUGCCAGUGCUCCGCAUGGACAAAACUCCGGAAUGCGCAGAGGUGUCCUGCAGUCGGGCCCGUGAGAAGCAAUUUGGGCACGGUGCCACCUGGCUGAGCAGCAGUGACUCCGCAGCAGACGAGCCAGGACUGGAAGCUGCCGGCUCCUUCUGCAGCACCCAGGUCCCAACUGCACAUCCUGGGAAGCUGGCUGGGUUCUCUAGCUAAAACACUGACCCCUUCCUCCUGCUGCAAAGGCUAUCGCUUCUUGCUUGAUUACAUCCAGAGGCAAAAGAUUAAUAGAAGAUGUCAUUAUAGAAAUGGAACUGUUUUCUAAUAGAAGUGAGGAGAAUAGCAACAGUAGAAAGUGAAGAAAGGGAUGUCAUGUCCCAUUUCUGCACAACUCCUUGCUCUGCAGUCCAGCACAACACACAUAGAAAGAACUAACUGGACUACGGGGUUGUAUCAGUUGACUUGAAAUUGUGAAACUCACCUCUGAAGAGAACAGGAUAACCAUAUAGACUGGAAGAAGGCUUGACUUCCUUCAAAAGACUUCCCUUCAGCUGAGGUUCAUCUGGAUGUUCACCAUCAUCUCCAAAGCAAACAAAUGAUCUCGUCUGAAUGGGAACCUGACUUGGGGAAAAUCUUCUCAAGCGAGGAAGACUAUCCACAGACCUUGGGGCAGUCAAGCCAUCUACGUAAGACAUUGAUGUGGACCUUCUGAUGACUCCUAAGCAAAAUUAACAUGGAAUCCAAGAUGAAGAGAAGCUGAGAUCUCUUGGAACAACACAACGGGAAUUCAAUGGCUCUCGAACUUGCACUUCAUAUGAACCAGAACAUUAUUAUGGAAACCACUAACAAUUUAUUGGUCACUUAAAAAAACCUGACAAGCAUAUUGUUCAACUGAAGCCUGAAAACCAAAGCUACUACAAAACUUCAAAUCCAAAUUCUGAAAGAUGCAGAGACUCUACCAGAAACAGAUGAGAUUACCACAAAGCACCGGCAGGUCAAGAUCCACAGGGGACUACCUGGAGCUAAAAAGCAUACAUACUCCUUCCUCUCUUAUCUUCUACAGGAAGCUAGCAGCAGAAGAAAGUGAAGGAAAACAAAAGCAAUCUCAUGAUCUGUUAAUACUAUUUGCAACUAUUCAGAAAUAGAUAAGUCUACCUUACCAGUUGUAUUAUUUAUUAAUAUGAUACUUCACUUUUCUAGCAAUACAGAGAGUUACUAUUUAUUAUGGAAAAGCUCACAACAGAUUUCCAACAAGAAUAGGCAUUAUGAUCAAUGUCUUUCUUACAUUUCUUUCUUACAUCAGUAUCUAACUGAUACGUUUAAGAUUUUACCACACUAGAGAUUUGAAAAAAAUUAAAGGGUUCACUCAUUAACUUUGUUUCAAUUUUCCAGUAUUGAACUUCGGUGCUUCUCGGACAGAAAUUAAGAAAAGCUCAUCCUAAUAACCAGAACAACCUACUCUUCACAUGGUAGUUUGGCCACCUCUCUAAUUCAGCAGAUGAGACAUUCUUAAUUAAAUUUGGGUUGGGUUCAAAACGCAAUCACAGCUUAAAAAUGCUAAAAAAUUUCUGAAGGAGUUGGGCCAGAGCAGAAGGAAGACUGCAGAAUUAGUUAGAUUUUUAGGAUGGAAUAAUCACUGUCACAACUUCUUACCAUGUGGGUAAUACGACAAACCUAAAUUAAAAAAAAACAGACUCAGGCUGAGAAUGCCAUGCUGCAGUAAACACGUAGAACUAUCAUUUAGUUUUUCCAGGAAACUGCUUAAGUGUGUAAUAAUCUUACUUUAGUUUACACAAAGGCAGUGAUCAAACCCAUCCAUUCCCUUUUCCACUUAGUAAAGUCUACUGAUGGUAAUAACUUAACCCAGGCACAGAUGGAAUGAAAAAAUAAGGGAAAACUGCACUAUUAAAUACUCAGACCAGAAAUUAUACACAUAUUUCAGCAAUAGCCAAACCCUGUACAAAAAUGUAGUCAGUUUUUUCACAGCUUUGCUGAGGUAUGUGAGGGACAGGCAAUGCCGUAAAGUAACAGGACAUGCCACCCAUUUCAUACUACAACAUGAAGAAUGCAUGAGCCGAUGGAAUAUGGAGCCAAAUACUCAGAUGCUGUAGUCUGAAGAUAAAUGCUAGCAAAUGCUUGACAGGAGUCUCUUCAUAGUUUAGCUGAAAAUAUGAACAACUGAUUUAUAAAAGAUUUUCGCUGUCGUUCUCUGUGGAAAGUUCGCAUUCAGUACGAUUUGUAGUUCCGAAACACCAGAUUUAGGCAUGUGUUUAAUAUGUUUUCUAAAUCUCAGAUAUUUAUAUGUGUGCAAGCAUCAUUAACUUGAGCAAAAACAUUUGCCAAGUACAGUUACAUUAAAAAAACAAAACAGUUAAUCAUCAGUUGAACGGACCCAUGUUUCUCAAAGAAAACCUACAAUAAUGAGUUGAAAACAUUACAAUCUUCCUGCAUUUAAAAAAAAGAUUUAAAUUCCUUAAAUACUUACAACUAGAAGUGACUGAAUGCUCCAGAUCCUAGACUUACUUUCUAAAAGCAGAUUGCACUUGCCAUUGCAGUCACUGGAAUCUUAUUGUACAAAUGGCAUUUGAAAAAAAACAAAGAAACAGAAAAACAUAACCUGCAAUAAACUCCUGCUAGCAGAAGAGACAUCCAGGGGUCAACUGGAGCCUGAGGUUUUACCCACAUUAAGUUUUCAAGCUAAUAGGUAAUGCUAUACUAAUAUAUAUUCAUAGCAUAGAGUACCUGACAAUGUAAUUUAUGCUGCUGAGUCGCACGCCAAGGCAAAUAACCUAACAUGCACCUGGGACAACACUACCUAAAAUUCUAUAUAUUCAUAAAAUACAGAAAGAAACAAUUUUUUCCAUUAUAUGUCAACCAUGCAACAAUGGCUAUUUUGCAAGUGCAUUUGCAAUGUGGCCAACAGAAUAGGCUCUGACUGUGUAAGAGAUUCGUAAUUCAUACAGAAAACACCACAAAUGCUCACACUAACUUUAGGCAAUUUUUUCAGUCCACUGGGCUUAUUUAUGGGAUAUGGUUAUGGACCACGCAGUAUACUUCAGCAGUCAAUUCAACAACAAUGAUAUAAAUACAAAUUUUAUCUUCACAUUUCUAACAAAACAAAUUGUAAUUUAAGUGAGAAUAAACAUUACUGAUGUUUUUUGUUUUACCAAUACUGAUAAUUUUAUGUAAUUGCUCUGAUACGUGUGGGCUUCUCUCCCCCCCCCAUCACUGCUAUUAACCAUAUUAAGAUUAUAAUGCACUUGGAUUUCAAAAAUUAUUCUCAUCUUUCAAAAAUGACCUAUUUCUCUCUUUUCAGCUAGGAUAGAGUUAUCCAGAAACAUAUUAAACAUGCAAAUUUAAAUACUCUGGGACUGCAUGCAAUCUUUCCACAUUUAAACGGGCAUAAUGCUCUUUUAUUAACUCCACUCCACAAACAAACAGGAGAAACAAAACAAAAAACCCACACCCUUUUAGGAAAAUGUAUUAAACAAUUUUUGUUGUUUACUUUUAUAAGUUGGAAUAAACAUCAUCUUGGAUCAUAAAGCAAUGCUUUCCACGAUGCCACAUGCAGAUUUAUCUCUUUUGAGAUGCAUGUAAUUCACAAGGUUGAACAUUGAAAAAAACCACACAAAAGUAGGAGUAGGAUUCUGUGAUCCUCGUGUGUGUCCCUCCCAAUUCACUGUACUCUAUGACUCCAUGAAAACUGAAAACUUGCAUUCUGUAACAGUUUAAAAUCUCAGUGUUUGCAAAUGUAUGUUUACCCACACAUACCAUAUCUAAGUAAUUCCUAUAUACAAUGAAUGCUUGUUCUCAUCUGAAUUAUUUACACUCCAGCACAUACCUUCUGACCUCCUGCAGAUUCUGCACUGUGAUGCUCUUUAAGUUUUUGUUCCUGUUCCAUUAUGUCUUUCAAAUGUUCAUUUACCUAGAGACAAAAAAGCUUAUUCUGUGGUCCAAGAAACAAGUUGGGGAAAUAGCAAGUUUUUUUAAGGUCUGUAAAUUUAACAGGUAUUUCUGAUUCCAUAGCUGUGAAGUGUAACCUGCAAAUGUCAACAUUCCAGCUGCAGUCUAGGUCACUUAUAUUUAGCUUUAUGCUGUAUUAACAGCUCUGCCCUUUAUUAUGCUUGAUUGCAUUUGAUUAGGGCUGUAUUGCUGUCAUUUGAUUUGAUUGUGUGGUAAAGGUAAACAAUCUCAAGCAAGAUGCGUUCCAAUACAAACAGAACACUUGGCUUUCAGAUCAUGAUAAAUUACAGAAGAAAUCAGCUCUUUUAACACAGCCAACAGGAGACACUCAACCAGCCAACCUGGUAUCUCAACACAACAGCAACUGUUAACGAGCCAUAUGCAAGUCACAUUAUCCUUUAUUAUUUAGGCUUCUCAUUUAUCUAGUUUGCCUAACUUGUUUAACUGAUUUCUGCAAACUUCUCUUUUCGUUACCCACAAACAGCAGAUGAAGAACAGUCCCUGUCAGAUACACCUAUGUAUAUACAUAUCCCUAUCCAGUCAUCUCUAAUAGAAACUUACAGACUGCAAAUAGAAUCAUGGUUUGCUUUUCCAGUGCUCAUACCUUGUUUAUCCAGAACAUGACAGCAUCCUCUAUGUCAUAAGGUAGAUCCGUCGCUUGGAAGAAAGACGAAUACUGCUGAGUGCACGCAAUCACUUUCUCAACGCUGACCAUCUCUACGGUAUACGCCAUCAUAAGAGUAUCGAUCAUAGCCAAAUGAGCACUCUACAAAGAGAAAUAGUAAUGCCUCAUUAUUAUGCAAAUUGAAAUACCAUUUUCUUACGUACUGUUUGCAAACACAGCCAGAUGCAUACAGAGACCCAAACUGUAAAUGCUACAGGUUUUCUGCCUGGUUUUCAGUAUUUGAAUCAGAGACAAACAGCAGAAACACGCACAACAGAUUUGAGAAAGCAAGACAAUGCAAAAAAAAAAUGCUUACCAUGAAUUAAAGUAACUUCUGUAACAAAACAAACAUGAAAAGUAAAGAAAUCAAAUGGAAAGAAAAAACAACUUCCGAGAUUCAAACGUUACUUCAACUUGAUGUUUUAGCAAAGCCUAAGAGGGCUUCUGAGAUCUCAAGGAAAAUAAUCCCCCUGGCCUGAUCCAUGUUAUUUGUACUGGAAAUAAAAACAGACUGGCUGCCAAGCAACCUUCAUUAUCAUUACAUUGCUGCAUACGUGCAAGUUUACCUGUUUUUCAAGUCACAGUCUAGGAAGACACAAUUACACUAACAUAACUAAAAAGCAGAAUGACAGAAAACAGUUAUUUUUCUUCUAGCAAACUCAUCUAACACAGAUGAAGCUAAACACACACAACUAUCUUGAAAACAGGCACAUACUGGUAAAUAAAACAUGGUUUCCAUUAAUGCAGAUGCUUCCAUGUAGUGAAAGACCACGUCUAUUUCCAAGUUUGCAAAAAAUUUUAUGAUGAAAAUCCUGGUUGCUUAUUUAUGCUCAUGGCUGAAAACAAAAAUGAUGCCAGUUUGUAGAGGUGGCACUUAUGAGAUUUGCUUCUGCUUCAGGACAAGCUUC